rnacentral:lncRNA from 1 species
GGAUUUCUUCCCAAAUCUUUCAUUAACAUGACAUCUCUUCAGAUGUUGGAUCUUUCUCAAAAUCACUUCAUGGGAAAGUUUGAUUCUAACAUUGCAACCCUUACAUCACUGGAACAUUUUGAUUUUACAGAAAACCAAUUUGAAGUGCCUGUUUCAUUUACACCAUUUGCCAAUCAUUCACACCUUAAGUUUGUCUAUGGUAAAGGCAACAAAGUCAAAUUGGACUCUCAACACAGUUUGCAAACUUGGAUUCCAAAAUUUCAGUUAGUGAGGCUUAGCUUGUCUUCAACCAUUGAGACUAGUUCUUUCCAGCUUCCCAAAUUUCUUCUUUAUCAAAAAUAUCUAACUAGUCUAGAUUUUAGUGGUUUGAAUUUGGAAGGAGGGUUUCCUCAUUGGUUGUUAGAAAACAACACAAAGUUGAUUGAAGUUGUUUUUAGAUAUUGUUCUUUGAAUGGUACUAUGCAAAUACCAUUGCAUCCCUCUCUUGAGUUACAGAGUAUUGAUGUGUCUAGCAAUACCAUAACUGGUGAAAUCCCAAGCGAGAACAUCAGUUUUAUUUAUCCAAAUUUGAGAUAUUUAGACAUGUCUAGAAACCACAUCCAAGGUUCAAUUUCUCGUGAGUUUGGCCGACUGAAUUUGUGUUUGUUGGAUCUUUCAGACAACCAAUUGUCAGGAAAAAUAUCAGAGGACAUAUUCGAAGCUUGGCACCAACUUGAUUUCUUGAAACUUUCAAAUAAUAAGUUGGAGGGACCCAUUUUUACAAUACCCACUAAUUUGAGGUCUUUAUUCUUGAAUGAUAACAACUUUAGUGGUAGACUUCCCAGGAACAUUUUUAACACAUCCAUCGUCUCAUUGGAUGUAAGCAAUAAUCAUUUGGUAGGAAAGGUUACAAGCCUUCUGAAUAAUUCAUCAGGAUUAUUGGAACUUCGUAUGUCCAAUAACCACUUUGAAGGAUUCAUUCCAUUAGAAUUAAUACAACUUGAAAAUCUAAAAUAUUUAGAUCUCUCCCAAAAUAAUUUUUCUGGUCUUGUACCAUCAUUUAUAAAUUCUUCUGUGAAAUUUAUCCAUUUAAGCAAUAAUCAUUUAGCAGGAUUGUCCAAAAAAAUGUUCACUGAAAACUCUCCUAUAGUGAUGUUGGACCUUAGUUACAACAAAAUAUCUGGUGGCAUUCAGGAUAUGAUUCAAGAUCUCAAUUAUUCAAAGUUGAAUUUUCUCCUUUUAAAAGGUAAUCACAUUACUGGGGAUAUACCUAAGCAAUUAUGUCAGUUGAUAAAGUUAACCAUGCUAGAUCUCUCAGACAAUAAACUUUUGGGAGAAAUUCCUCAUUGCUUGGGGACAAUGCCUUUUGAUAAUAACAACCUUGAUCCAUUCUUAAAAGCAUCCAAGGGAUAUUUUGUUGAAGAACAUAGUCUAAGACCAUCACAAUCAGAGCAUAAGAAAGAGAAAGCAAGUUUCACUUCGAAGAAAAGAAUUGAUACGUACACGGGAAGCAUCCUUGCUUAUAUGUCUGGAAUUGACUUAUCCAAUAAUAAAUUGAAGGGGAAUAUUCCUUAUGAGCUUGGAAACUUGACAAAAAUCCAAGCAUUGAACUUGUCUCAUAAUGAUUUGAUUGGACAAAUUCCAGAUUCCUUCUCGAAGUUGGUGCAAGCAGAGAGUUUAGAUCUUUCUUUUAAUAAGUUGAGUGGUGAAAUUCCUUCUAAACUCAAUAUUCUAACCUCACUUGAAGUAUUAAGUGUGGCACACAACAACUUAUCAGGCCCAAUACCUGAAUGGACAAAUCAAUUUGCCACAUUUGAUAAGAGUAGCUAUGAGGGUAACCCAUUUCUUUGUGGACCUCCAUUACCAAAGAGUUGUCAUCCAGCUCCUAUAGUUAUUCCAAAUGACUUGCAUUAUGACAAAGACAAUGAUAGGUUGGUAGAUAUGUAUGUCUUUUAUGUGAGCUUUAUUGUAUCAUACAUGUUAGCAUUGUUAACAACUGCAGCAACUCUAUACAUCAAUCCUUCCUGGAGACAAGCAUGGUUUGACUACAUGGAAUUUGUCAUUUUAAAUUGUUACUACUUUAUCGUUGACAAUUUUUAUAGGUUUUGUAAUACUAAAAAUAUGUAACAUGUAUAUUGCAUCUUAGGAUGUUUAUUUCAUUGUUUCCUUUUAAUAGUGAUUUAAUAAAAAAAAAAAAGUCAUGCAUGUGUGGCUUAAUAUAAUAAAAUGAAAUCUAUUUUGUAUUAAAUUGUUGUUAAGGAUUUUUUUAGUCUUUUAAAUUCUUCAUUAUACUGUGAGAGAAUGUAGAUAAGAUAUUUUUAUAUCACAUUAAUUAAUAAUAAGGCUUCAUAUGUUUUUAGUACUUAUAAAACAGGUUAACUUGGUUGAGGUGAAAAAAUUUGUGACCAAAUUUGUAGUCUUUAUUAAUUCAUGAUAUUUUAUUUUAGUAUUUAAAUCUUAUUUUUAGUAUCUAUGUCAUAGAAUCUGAACGAGACAAAGUUAUGAUUUAAUAAAAAUUAAAAGUGAUUAAUUUUUUAUUUAAUAGUAAGAACUUGCUAACAGAAAAUUAUGGAAACUAAAAGUUUUAGUGAAAUGUAGUAGAAAUUAAAACAAUUACUCUAUUUAAAAGAACACUUGAAUCCCUUAAUAAUAAUUUAAAAUCAUGAUUCACUUAAAAUUUUAUACGAUUUAUUUUUCACACGCAUUAUUUUACACACGCAUUAUUUUUUACCCACCACCCAUUUGUAUGUUACAGUAAAAAAAUUAUUAAAUAUAAUUAAUUUAAUAUAUUACAAAAAAAAUUAUGAAAUAUAAAUAAUUUUAGAGAAAAAAAAUUAAUUAAAUAAAUUAGAUACUAUUUUAGAUAUUAAAAAAUUAUUAGUAUUUAAAUUAAUUUUUUUAUUAAUAAAUAAUUUCUAAAUUAAUAUUUAAUUAAUUAUCAAAGUUUUAGUUAUCAACUUAAGAAUCUAAAUAAUUGGUUAAAAAAAAUAUGUAACUAGUUAGAUGCCAAUUUAACAACUAUUUAUAAAUAACAACAACUAAAUUAAAUACAAAAAAAAAAUUAGUCUCGACAAUGUUAGAAAAGAUGGCUUUAAACUGAAUUGUUUAAAGGGCUUUUCGCAAACUUUUCAAAGCUAGAAUGAACUUAUUUCAGAAACCAAUUGAUUCAACAAUUCAGUUAGCCAAAACAGCAAGCAAAACUGUAAUACUAGAAAAAACAAUCGGUUGUUUCUUCGAAACAAUCGGUUGUUUCUUCGAAACAAUCGGUUGUUUAUACCAGCAAACAACAAACAAACUGAAAUUAAAGAGUUAGGGAUAGAAAGAUUGUAUACAGUUGUUUAUACUGGUUCACUCCAAACUAGAGCUACAUCCAGUCUUCUCAGAAACCCUGAGGAUAUCCACUAAGCAACCACACCUUGAUCACUUACACCACAACCAAGAGAAUGACCUUGAACACCUCAAGAAACACACUCUCCUUGGCCAACACUAAGAUUGCUGAUCUUGAACACCUCAAGAACACACAACCAAUCUCAGCAAAACAAACAAACGAAUUGUUUAGCAGUUUACAAAGAUUACACUUGUUACAUAUCAAAAUCUGAAAUCAAUACAAGUAGAAUCCUAUUUAGCACCUUGAUCAAUCUCAAAACUCUUUAGCAAUCUCAGAACUCUUUGAAAAACUCUUAGAUCAAAACUUUGUUUCAAGAUUCUUUAUACAUCAAAAACAGUUUUUCAGAAUAUAUCUAAGAAUAUAGUUUGUUAUCAAAUCUUAACAAACUCUUAAUUGCAUUUAAAAUAGAUUGGUCAAAGCAUUUAAUGACUGGACCGUAUUCAGUUAAAGCAUUUAAAGCUCAGUCAAAGAAAAUAGCUUUUCUGUUAUGGUUUCAAAACAAACAAUCGAUUGUUUCCUCGAAUCAAUCGGCUGUUUUGUUACUUAACAAAAUUCACCAUUCAAAAACAGUUUUCAAACUUUCUCAAAACACUUAAGUGUAAACAAUCGGUUGUUUCAACUUAGUUUAAAAAACAUUUUGCUUUGUUAAAAUUGAGAUGCUAAUUGCUUUGAGAUUUAAUCUAAGGGUUGAUUACAACAUUAAACUACCCCAGAACAAGGCUUAGACCAGCACAGCAGCAUCAAGCAAAGCAGAGGCUUCAUCAUCCUUCAAAGGAUUUGGAUUCUUCAAAACAUUGAACACCACUUGGUUCAACAAUCUCCCCCUAUUUGAUGAAGACAAAUCCCUGAUUCUUGUGUUGUUCUUGCAAUAGAACUUUGAGCAAUGCAUUGAACUUCUGAUAUUUUGUUAGCAUACAGAUAAACAAUUAAAGCUUAAAACAUCUAAUAUCAGAACCAAAAACAUCACCCAAACUGUUUUUAACAAUAUGAAAAACAGAAACUUAAAACAAAUUGGAAACACAGCAUAUAUCUCCCCCUAUUUGUCUUCACAAAUAGACAAAGAUAAGAGAUAAAAUAAGACAUUGUUCCCAUUACAUCAGAAUAAUCCAGCAACAACAGAAGAAAAGAAAUUUUAAAACCAGAAAAGAGAACAGCCAAAAACAAUCGAUUGUUUUGAUGACCAAUCGGUUGUUUUUCUUUCAAUCUUCUUCAUCAGCAAACUGAAGAUCAAAGAUUUGAUUCUGGACAGCUUCAAUUUGUUCAUCCAGAGUCAUAAACCUUGCAUCCAUGUUGUCAAACCUUGUGUCAAUCCUCUGAAAGUUGCUAACACACAGAUCAUGAAGGCUUCUUUGAUUUUCUGCAAAGCUAUCUAGCCUCUCCAUCAUUUCUCUUUCAAAAGAUGACAUGGUUGACAUUCUUUCUCUUUGAUAUCCAUUAGCAGCACUAGGCCCUGCAUCUUGAAAAUCUCCAGCUGGAUCUUCAUGUUGAACAUCCAUGUCAGCAGGUUCAUCUUGUUCAAGAUGAGCAGCACCACUAGAUGAUGCACCAUGAUCACCAUCCUUACUUAUCCACUUUCCACCUACUUUUGUAAAGCCCAUCUUGUUGAGUGAUCCAUUGUUCAACUCUUGAGUUGACUUGACCAGCUCAGAAGUUUCAUCUUCAAGAUUAACUUCAAAAUAGAGUAGAAACUUAGAUAUUAAAACAGCAUAGGGAUAGUGGUAAUCGCCUAACCUCAUGGCUUUUUGCAUAUGUUCUUUGAUUAUGUGAAUCCAAUUGAUCUUCACUUUCUUGGGGAUGCAUAAGAUAUAAACCAUAUCUUCUUCAGUCAACACAGAGUGGUUACUCCCCCUUGGAGUUAGGAUCCAAGUUACAAUGAGAGCAAGCAACCUCUCAUCAAGCUUCAAGCCUCCAACCGAGCAAGUGCUAACUUGAGAUUGAUUGUUCUUCAAGCAACUUUUGUAGAACUGGAUUUUGUUGAAAUCUUCUACGACACCAAGGUUUCCUUUAUUGAUUCUUAAUCCAGAGAACUUAAGCCCAGCUACAGCAGCCCAAACCUCAUGGGUUAUCUCCAUCUCCACACCUUUCACAUGAGAGACUAAGUUGUUUUCCUCAAACUUCAAGUUGGUGUAGAAAACCCUCACCAAAUCUGGAUAUAUGUUCCCUUUGAGCUCCAUAAACUUUCUGAGUGAUUGGUCUUUGAGAAGCCUCCUCACAUUGUCAAGCUUUUGACUUUUUAGCCAGUUAAAGCACACAACCUUGGGGUUGUUUAUCUUCUUGACACUUGUUUCAUAUCUAUACUUCUCAAUGAGAUCGGUGUCACUAGAAAACCAGCUUUCAAGCCUUCCUUCAGACCUUACAACUCUGGUUUUGACUCUUUUAGCGGUGGGAGGGGUUGAUUUCAUGACAGCAGAGACGAAAACUCACUUCACGGAAAAUUUUCAAGAGAUGGUGCAAGAGAUAUUGCAAGAGAUGUUGCAAUUGGUUGUUCUUGAUGAAAGAAAUUUGCACCUGAUUUUAUAGUAGAAAGAGAAUCAAUUUGAAUUUAAUUUCAUUCAAUGGGUACCUGAUUUUCAGAGAGAGGACUUGACUCAGUUCUGCACUGAAAAUGUCAGAAAAAGCUGAAAAUCACAUGGUCUUCACAUGUGAUCUUUGACUAGUCAUUAAGGCUCUUGAAUUUUCAAGAUUUUGGAAUAUAUUCCUUUAUGACUGUUGUGACUUCUUUCUGAACGUGAUCAGCUUCCAACACAGAUCCUUUGACCAAGAUUCUCCCUUAGAAAAAUAUAUGCAACGGCUAGAAAUUUAAAAGGCAGUUAAAUCAAUUUCUUCACAGUGCUGUCAGACUCAAAACAAUCAGUUGUUUCGAAGAAACAAUCGGUUGUUUUUCUGCAGCAGUUAAAAACUUGAUUUUGUAAUUUUUAACCAUAAACAGAGAUAAAUUAAAGCAUAUGACAUUGAUUAAAAGACAAUUAAUCAUAAGAAAGAACUUUGANNNNNNNNNNNNNNNNNNNNNNNNNNNNNNNNNNNNNNNNNNNNNNNNNNNNNNNNNNNNNNNNNNNNNNNNNNNNNNNNNNNNNNNNNNNNNNNNNNNNGUUGUUUCUUCAAUGAGCCAAUUGCUUGUUGAUCAAGAAAUCUUCUUUUCACUGUUUUGACCUUUUGCAUAGCAAUGAUUCAGCUUCAAUGACUGCCUUUUUCUUCAACAGCUUGAUCAGAUGGCUCAAUUCUUCCUUUUCUCUUCAUUUUUUCUGCAUAAUCAAAUUCAAGUUGCAAGAUUUGGUCCCCUUACAAAUUUGGGUCCACUUGGCUUUUCUUUGUUGUUAGAAACAUCACAUCCCUUAGGAAUCCAUUUCAUAAAACCUUUAGGAACACAAUAUUUUCUAAUUUUGCAGAAUCUAACAGAGUGGCAUUUCUUCAUGCAGUAAAAGCAUGUAACAACCAGUUGUUUCAUCUUAACAAUUGGUUGUUUUUCUGAUUUUCUCAAAAAGCUUUUUGAAAACCUAUCUUGCUUGUUCUGUGGAUUGAAGCCUAAACCAACCUUUCCAAAAACACAGCUUUGAGAUACUAGGACAUUCUCAAAGUUUGACUUUCCUUUUGAAAGCUUGUCCACAGUUUCAACAAGAUAGUGAACCUUUUUCUCAAGAUUUUCACAAUUUGUGCAAUUGAGAGUAUCACACUUGCAAGAGGCAUUUUUGAAAUUAUUNNNNNNNNNNNNNNNNNNNNNNNNNNNNNNNNNNNNNNNNNNNNNNNNNNNNNNNNNNNNNNNNNNNNNNNNNNNNNNNNNNNNNNNNNNNNNNNNNNNNUUUUUGCUUUUCUCAGUUCCUCUUCAAGUGAUUUAACUUACUUUUCAAGCCCAUUGUUAAGAUCUUUGAAUCGGUUGUUUGAAAGAACCAAUCUAUUAGCUUCAUCAUGUGUUUCUUGAAAAGCUUCAAGCAAUUCACUAUAGUUUUGUUCAUUUAAGGAAGCACAUGAACUUACCUCACUUGAACUGCAGGAAUCAUCAUCAUCAUCCUCAGCAACUAAGCAUAUGUUGGCUUUUUCAUCUUCACUUGAUGAAGAACUUGAUGAUGACACUUCAUUUUCAUCCCAAGCUAUGUAAGCUCUUUUUGUCUUGCCUUUCUUCUCCUUGUAGCUUGUCUUUUUCUCUUUGCUCUUGUUGGGACAAUCAGCCUUUAUGUGACCUUGCUCACCACAACCAAAACAAGUAUAGUUAUUUGAAUUAAAUUCAUUGGGUUUCUUGUUUCCAUACCUAUCCUUGUUGUUGUCUUUGUUGCAGUUUCUCUUUAGGAAUUUGCUGAAUUUUCUUGACAGCAAACUAAGAUUUUCCUCAUCACUAUCAUCACUUGAAUCUUGCUUUUCCUUAUGUUUGGAUGCUUUCAAGGCUAUGCUCCUUGUGUGCUUAUCUUCACUUUCUUGAACAUUGAGUCUAUUCAUCUCUAGCUCAUGUUCCCUAAGCUUNNNNNNNNNNNNNNNNNNNNNNNNNNNNNNNNNNNNNNNNNNNNNNNNNNNNNNNNNNNNNNNNNNNNNNNNNNNNNNNNNNNNNNNNNNNNNNNNNNNNAGAAUAGCAGUUACCUUUGGUUGCCAUGCUCUAUCAAGACAUUUCAAGAUCUUGAUGUUCAGCUCUUCUUUAUCAAACGUCUUGUCUAGGCUCAUAAGGUGAUUGAUGAUGUGUGUAAACCUUUUCUGCACUUCAGCUAUGGUUUCACCUUUAAGCAUUCUAAACAUCUCAUACUCUUGGAUGAGAGCAUGCUUUCUAGCACUUUUCACCUCAUUUGUUCCUACAUGAGUGACUUCCAAAGUAUCCCACAUCUCUUUUGAUGAUUUGCAUUGUGAGACCCUGAAAAACUCAUCAGAAUUUAAAAGCAGAGGUUAUAAUAUUUUUGGCAAUGCAAUCGAAUUUGGCCUUUUACUUUCUGCAUCAGUCCAUUGAGACCAUGGCUUCUCAAUGACAGAACCAUCUUUUUCAAACUUUGGGAUAAAAGGGUCAUUUUCAAUUGCAUCCCAAAUUCCUUUGUCAAGAGAUUCCAUAAAUAUUUUCAUUCUAACUUUCCAAAACUGGUAAUUCAAAUCACAAAACAAGGGUGGUCUGUUUAUUGAGGCACCUUCCCCAAACGGUAGUCUAUCAGCCAUUUUGAAAGAUUUUAGGAUCAACUUGAAUGACUUACAAGAACCAAGCUCUUGAUGCCAAUUGUUAGAAAAGAUGGCUUUAAACUAGAGGGGGAGUGAAUUGUUUAAAGGGGGUUUCGCAAACUUUUCAAAGCCAGAAUGAACUUAUUUCAGAAACCAAUUGAUUCAGCAAUUCAGUUAGCCAAAACAGCAAGCAAAACUGUAAUACUAGAAAAAAACAAUCGGUUGUUUCUUCGAAACAAUCGGUUGUUUAUACCAGCAAACAACAAACAAACUAAAAUUAAAGAGUUAGGGAUAAAAAGAUUGUACACAGUUGUUUAUACUAGUUCACUCCAAACUAGAGCUACAUCCAGUCUUCUCAGAAACCCUAAGGAUAUCCACUAAGCAACCACACCUUGAUCACUUACACCACAACCAAGAGAAUGACCUUGAACACCUCAAGAAACACACUCUCCUUGGCCAACACUAAGAUUGCUGAUCUUGAACACCUCAAGAACACACAACCAAUCUCAGCAAAACACACACACAAAUUGUUCAGUAGUUUACAAAGAUUACACUUGUUACAGAUGAAAAUAUGAAAUCAAUACAAGUAGAAUCCUAUUCAGCACCUUGAUCAAUCUAAAAACUCUUUAGCAAUCUCAGAACUCUUUGAAAAACUCUUAGAUCAAAACUUUGUUUCAAGAUUCUUUAUACAUCAAAAACAGUUUUUCAGAAUAUAUCUAAGAAUAUAGUUUGUUAUCAAAUCUUAACAAACUCUUAAUUGCAUUUAAAAUAGAUUGGUCAAAGCAUUUAAUGACUGGACCGUAUUUAGUUAAAGCAUUUAAAGCUCAGUCAAAGAAAACAACUUUUCUGUUAUGGUUUCAAAACAAACAAUCGAUUGUUUCCUCGAAUCAAUCGGUUGUUUUGUUACUUAAGAAAAUUCACCAUUCAAAAACAGUUUUCAAACUUUCUCAAAACACCUAAGUGUAAACAAUCGGUUGUUUCAACUUAGUUUAAAAAACAUUUUGCUUUGUUAAAAUUGAGAUGCUAAUUGCUUUGAGAUUUAAUCUAAGGGUUGAUUACAACAUUAAAUUACCCCAGAACAAGGCUUAGACCAGCACAGCAGCAUCAAGCAAAGCAGAGGAUUCAUCAUCCUUCAAAGGAUUUGGAUUCUUCAAAACAUUGAACACCACUUGGUUCAACAAACAAUAGUAUCUAAUUUAGUUAAUAUAAUUAAUUUUUUUUGUCUCUAAACCUAGUUUGUAUUUAAUGAUUAAUGUUACUUUAUGAUUUCACAGAAGUAUAUUACUACUCUAUGAACAUAAACUAUAUAUUUUUCUCAUAACUGGGGAUGCUAAGGAAUUCAGUUGUUGUUAUACAAGCCAAGGGCUCAGGGUUACAUUCAGUUACGACUCCUAUUGAUAAUCAUCAUGUGGGGGUCUCUGCUCCUGUGGCUUUACCAUCUUUGUUGCGUCCUACCUAUCCUCGAAAGGCUAAAUCACCUGCAGAUUCUAAAGCACCAAUUAAUAGUCCAAUUGAUGGUCAUCAUGUGGAGGUCUCUCCUAUUGUGACUGUACCAUCUCUGUCGCCUCAUACCACCCCUUGGAAGGCUAAAUCUCUUGGGGAUGUUAAAGCACCAUCGUUGGUCCUGCAAAAUCAAUUUUCCUCUUUUGGUGGUUUGGAAACUACAAAUGUUAUUUCAAAAUUUUGGGUUGAUCCAAAUGAGAUGGAGGAGGAUGUUAGUGAUACUGGGGAGGAAAUAGUUUGCAUUAAGAGAAAAAACAGGGAGACCACCUAGGCGACUGGUAAAUAAAUAAAAAAACUGCUUAGGCAGUUCUAUCUACAACGUCGCAAUGAAGGUCUCUUAAUUUUUCUGGAAUGUUAGAGGACUAGGAAACCACAAAAAUGUGGACAUGUUGAUUAGUUUACUUAAACUACAUAAACCCCUCCUUGUUUUUCUUGUUGAACCUAUGAUGUUGUAUACUGAUUCUUUCGGCGUCCUUUUCAAAUCUGUUAAUAUGCAUUUGGUGGCUACGUCUCCUCUUGUUAAUAAAGUGUCUAAACCUUGGUGUUUGUUGGUUCCUAAUCUUGUCCAAAAUUUCUUAGUCAAUGAUCAAUUUAUUUUUGUAACUUGUCUUCUACAUGAUAAAUGUAGGGAUGACAAAGCGGGAUGGCUCGUGCGGGCCGACCCACAGCCCGCUGGUAAAAAACGUGAGGCAGACUGACUUUUUCAACCCGCUAACCCACAUUAGCCCGCAACCCGCGCGGGCCAGCAGCGGGGCGGGGCGGGAUGACCCGCUAACCCGCAAGAAAAAAAAAUUGGCACUUAGCAGCAACAAGGGAACGUAAUUAUGUUUUCACAAAAUUUCAAAGAAAGAAGCACAACACAAUCACGUCAAUAAUGUUUAUGUGUAAUGUUUUUGAAUUAAUGUUUAUGUUUAUGUUUAAUGUUUUGGAAGUGGAAUAAUAGUGAUAUUUGAUAUUUAUCUUAAUGUUUAAUGUUUUGAUGUUUGACUAUGUUUGAAAAGGAAGAAAAAUAAUUUAGGUUUGAUAGUAACAAAUAUAUAGGUUUAAUUUGAUAAUUUUUUAAGAACAAAAUGUAAAAAAAAAAAAUAUUUAAUUUAAAAAAAAAAGAAAAAAGAACGCGGGCUGGCCCACAAACCCGCGGGCCAGCUCUUAUGCAGGGCUGGUUGAGAAUUCUAGCCCGUAAUAACUUUGUGGGGUGGGCCAACCCAACCCGCAUUUUUGUGGGCCAAGCGCGGGGCGGGCUGGCCCGCUUUGCCAACCCUAGAUAAAUGUUUUAGCUUUGCAGGUGUUUAUGUUGCUACCUCAUACUUGGCUAGAUGGUUUUUGUGGAUGGAUUUUAGUUUCUUCACAAGGUCGUGGUGUAUUCUGGGAGAUUUUAAUAUUGUGCUCUCGACGGAUGACUGUAAAGGGGUGGCUCUUAAUCAGGUUUCCUGUAAUGAAUUUCUUAAUGGGAUUAAUAUUAAUGAUCUUUCUUGUAUGCUUUUUUACUGGAUCUUGUUAUACUUGGUGUAAUGGAAGGAGAGGGUUGCAUAGAAUUCAUAGAAGAUUGAAUUGGGCUUUAUGUAAUUAAGUGUGUCUAGAUGAAUGGGACUCUUGUAGUUAUCAAGUUCUCGUUAAAAAUUGUUUUGAUCAUCCUCCUAUUCUUGCAAUAAUUCGUUGAGGAAUAUUAGCAAUUUUCGUUUCUUUUCUAUGUGACUUCAGAACACUUCAUGUCUGAAGCUUAUUCAUGAUUCUUGGGCUAAUAAGGUUGUUGGUUGACCUAUGUUUAUUUUGCAACAUAAGUUAAAAAGGUUGAAAAUUGACCUCCGAGAUUGGAAUAAAAAUUCUUUUGGUAAUGUUCACAAUGCAGUUCUUCUUAAGCAGGGUCUCCUCCUUGGUAUUCAACAAAACUUAGAGACUGUUAGUUUGUCUAAUAUUGUUGGGCUUCUCUGUCAAGAAAAGAUUGUUAAGGAGGAGCUUAACCAUGCUCUUCACUGUCAAUAUUUGUUUAGGAAAGAAAGGGCUAAGAUGUUAUGAUUCGAAGAUGGAGAUCGAAAUACUGCUUUUUUCCAUGUUGUGGUCAAAAGGACAAAUAAUUUUAGUGGGAUUCAUCGUCUAUGGAUUGAUAAUGAGGUUACUCGAGAUCCUAAACUCAUUGAGGAUCAUAUUUUGGACUUUUAUAAAAGUCUUUAUGUUGAGUCUAUUUCUAAUGUUCUGGAUACAAGUAAUAUGCUUGGAACUUUGCUUAUAGCAACAAGCCUUGGUCUUUGCUCUUGAAAGCUAGGGUUCUUAAAUCAAAAUACGGGUUUAGAAUGGUGUAUAGAUCCUCAUCUCUUUGGCCUAAAAUUAAGCAGUUUUAUUCUACUAUAUUUGAUUAUACUUCUUGGACUGUUGGUACAUGUUCUUUUAUUAAUUUCUGGAAUGAUAAAUGAUGUUAAACUACUUCUUUAGCAAAUAUUGCAGGGUUAUCUGAUGGUACUAGCAUUCCGGAUACAGUGUCUCAGUUUUGGACAAGUUGUCAUUAGAAUAUUUCAUAUCUUUACAGCAGAUGCCUCAUUUUUUUAAUCAUAUCAUGGUUAGGGAGGAACAAGAUAUUCCUAAUUGGAUUCUAGAUGACUCUGGUCGUUUAACUCUUAAAUCGGUUAUGACUUUUAUCUUGGAACCAGGAGUUCCAUGUGGUUAGGGUAAAUUCAUUUGGUCUUCAUCUAUUUCGGCUUCCAAAACUAUAAUACUCUUGAAAGUUUUUCAUGGGCGGCUUCCUACAGAUCAACAUAUUCAAAAUAAAGGUUUGCAUAUAUGUUCUAUGUUUACGCUUUGUGAAGAGCAUGAGGAAUCUAUCCAACAUUUAUUUUUUAAUGUUCUAAUGCUUUGAAUAUUUGGAGUUGGGUUCGACAGAUUUUUCCUACUUCUUAUUUCUCUAAUAAAGAUGAUCUUCUUUCUUUUAAUCAAAGCGAAUGUAGUCCUUUGGUUAAAUUGACUAAGCUUGUUGUGAAAACUUUUUCUAUUUGGAUGAUAAGGCAUAUAAAGAAUUAUGCUAGACUUUAGGAUAAGAUUGAGUUAUUUCGAUUAUUAAAGAUUUAACUUGUCUAGUGGGAAAUUCGUCUAAAGCUUCAAUGAAGAAUGAUAUGUUGGAUUUCAAAGUGAUUAAGUUUUUUGGUAUUAAUACUCGUAGUGAUAAAGUUCUUUGUCAUCUUCCUGUUAGAUGGGAUUUUCUUUCACCAGGCUGAGUUAAAAUUAACAUUGAUGGAAUGUGGAGGUAUUUUCCAUGGGAGUAUAGGGGAGUUUAUUUGUGCUUUCUCUGCAUUUUUUGAAGUUCAGACUUUUGUGGAUGCUAAGUUUUAUGGAGUUAUACAUGUUAUGGAGGAAGCUUAAAAGAUAGGGCUUACUAAUGUGUCUGGCUUGAAUGUGAUUAUGCGUUGGUUUAUGUUGUGUUUACUGCUAGGACUAAUGUUCCGUGAAUGCUUCGUAAUCAAUGAAAUACUUGUCUUAAUUACUGUGAAGAAUAAAAAAUACAGUGUAACUGGUGCCGAACACGAUCUAAAUAUGACUCUACUUAGCUAACAUAAUCCAUGUCCGUAAGGUAAACAAAAUACAUGAGAAGACCUAUAGAAAAAAAAAACAGAAUAUAUAAAAAAAGAAAACAUAACCCUGCAGGAUCUUCGUAAACAAAACUUCAAUAACAGACUGACAGGUACACUACAUCUAUCUAUUAUGAUAGGUUUUAUUGUUUAUUUUCACUAGAGAUAAUUUUUAAGAAAAAUCAUACUGUGAAAACAUAAGUUAAGCUUAAAUUAAUUUAUCAUUUUGGUUUCUAAAUUUCUUUUAUUUUAGACUUUAUAAAAGAAAUUUUACUGUUUUAAUUUGAUCUCUAUGGUUAGAGUAUCUCAUUACAUAAGACAUAAUACUAACUCAUUAAAACACACAUGACAUAAUAUAUUAUGGUAACUUAAUAUUUAAUAUGACACCUAUAAAAAGGAUUUUGAAUGUAAAAUUAGUAACAAAUGUGUCUCAUCAAGUUACGUUCUUUGAUUUUCUCUUUUUUUUAGUAUAUAUUAAAAAGUUGUUAAAAUAAUAAUCAAAAUUUAUAGUAAUAAUAUAAUAAUAAAGAAAAAUAUUUUAUUAUUUUAAUUGGUGUAUAUAUUUCAUUUUUAAAAAAAUAUUUUUAACUGUGACUUUGUUUUACAUAAAAGAAUUUAUUAUUUACAUAAAUACAUUCAAUAUCUCAUUGUCAGAAUCAUCAAUCUUUAUAUAAACAAAUCAUUUUUAUUUUUUUAAUAAAAAAAGGUGAAUAAAAAAUUAUGUAUUAUUCCAACACUUCAUAGAUUCUAAAAAAAGUGUUUUAAAAAAUAAUUUAUUAUUAAAAUAAAAAUUAACAUUAAAUUAUAAUUUUUUAAAAUAAUAUAUAAUGCACAUUUUUCAUUUUGAAUAUAUAUUUCAUAUUUAUAGUUAUCCUUAAUUAUAUUUUCAAGCCUAAAAUAAAACCAUCUUAGACAUAAAACAUCAUAUAUUUUGGAAUCUCUUUUCAAAAAUAGAAAUUAAAAGCCAAAGUUAGCUUAAGAUGCAUGGUUUGAAAGCCUAUGAUGUUUAUAUUAAAAUGGUGGCUAAUUUUCUUCUUCCUUUUAUAUAAAAAGCUUUCAUGAUAGGUAUCACUAUGCUACUUGACAUCUCAAUUAUACUGAUACCUCAAGUAACAAUAAUCAUUUGUCAUCACAUGAAAAACAUAUUAUUAAAAAAAAAUAAUAAAAAAAAUACAAAAAUAUGGGGGAACUAGACGAAAACUCAUAUGUUAACAAAAACGAUACAUAGGUAGGGGUGGCAAAGCGGACCGACCCGCCCCGAACAGGCCCGCCCCACUUAGGCCCGCAAAAAUGCAGACCGGGUUGGCCCGCCCCGCAUACAAAAUACAGACUGGUUUUCAUGACCCGCCCCGCAUGCAGGUUGGGUCGUGGGCUUGCGAGUCGGCCUGCUAUUUUUUUAACGUAGAGGAGGAGUGGAGGCAGUAGCGGUGUGCAGCAGUGGAGCAGCAGUAGCGCGCAACAAUUGCAGGCGAAGCCACGCGGCGUCGCAAGCGGCGGCGCUGCAAAGGAGAGUGUGUCAUGUGUUGGGUGCGUUUUUGGAACAACGCAACUACGUUGUGAUUUGAGUGAAAACCUAAUUUUCUUUCACUCAAAGUUGUCACUCCUCCACUUGACCAUUGUUGUCAAGUCAAUUAAUUUUUAAUUUUUUUUUGCAGGCUAGCGGGCCAGCCCGCCCCGCCCCGAUGCUGGCCCGCGCGAGCUGCAAGUUAUGCGGGGCGGGUUAAUGCGGGUCAGCGGGUUGAAAAUGUUAGCCUGCCUUGCGUUUUUUACCACGGGCCACGGACCGGCCCGCCGCACUUUGCCACCCCUAUACAUCGGUACACUAUAGCUAUUAAUAAAGAAUUUUAAGAACAUACUAGAUAGAAGCCUAUUAUACCAAUGAAAGGAUUCUCUGUGAAUAAAUUCUAAAUUAGCCAACUUAUCAGCACACACAUUCCUUUCACGAAAAAUAUGAGUAACCCUAAGCCUGAUUUUUCCACAGUAAUUAAGACAAGUAUUCCAUCGAUUAUGAAGCAUCAAAGGAACAUUUGUCCUAGCAGUAAAUGCAUCACAAACCAAGGCAGAGUCACAUUCCAGCCAGACAUUAGUAAGUCCCAACUUUUGAGCUUCCUCCAAAGCAUAUAUAACUCCAUAAAAUUCAGCAACCAAAGCAGUCUGAACGUCAAGAAACAUAGAGAAAGCUCCAAUAAACUCCCCCAUACUCCCACGAAAAAUACUUCCACAAGUGGCAAGACCUGGAUAACCCCUAGCAGCCCCAUCAAUGUUAAUUUUAACCCAACCUGGUGAAGGAAACUCUCAUCUAACAGGAAAAGGACGAAGAACUUUACCAUUACGAGUAUUAAUACCAAAAAACUUAAUCACACUGAAAUCCAUCAUACCAUUCUUCAUUGAAGCUUUAAACUACUUUCCCACUAGAAAAAAUAAAUCUUUAAUAACUGAAAUAAUCCUAGAAACCUCAAUCUUAUCCUGAAAACGAGCAUAAUUCCUCAUAUGCCAUAACAUCCAAACAGAAAACGUUAUCACAACAAGCUUAAUCAAUUUAACCAAAGGACUACCAUCACUCUUAAUAAAAUAAAGAAGAUCAUCCUUAUUAGAGAAAUGAGAAGUAGGAAAAAUAUGUCAAACCCAACUCCAAAUAAACAAAGCAUUAGGGCAUUCAAAAAAUAAAUGAUGAAUAAAUUCCUCAUGCUUUUCACAAAGCGUACACAUAGAACAAAUAUGGAGACCUUUACUUUGAAUAUGAUGAUCUGUAGGAAGCCGCCCAUGAAAAACUUUCCAAAAGACAAGAGUUUUGGAAGGUGGGAUAUCUGAAGACCAAAUAAAUUUACCCCAACCACAGGGAACUCCUGGUUCCAAGAAAAAAGUCCUAGCCGAUUUAAGAGUAAACCGACCAGACUCAUCUAGAAUCCAAUUAGGAACAUCCUGAUCCGCCCUAACCAUUAUAUGACUAAAAAGAUGAGGCAUCUGCUGUAAAGGCAACGGAAUAUUCCAAUCAUGACCUAUCCAAAACCGAGAAACUGUAUCUGGAAAGCAAAUACCAUCAGAUAACCCUACACUAUGUGCUAAAGGAGUAGUAGAACAUCAUUUAUCAUUCCAAAAACUAAUAAAAGAACUUGUACCAACAGUCCAAGAAAUAUAAUCAAGUAUAGUAUAAUAAAACUGCUUAAUUUUAGGUCAAAGAGAUGAAAAUAUGUAAACCAUUUUAAACUUGUAUUUUGACUUAAGAACCCUUGUUUUUCAAGAACCAUCGGGAAAUAAUUGUCAUUAUAGGGGUUAGUAAAAACUUUCGUUAAUUUGUUAGCGACGCUGGAUAUACCAGGGGAAAAACAAACUGCGGGUAACACACUUAGUAGGGGUUAAAAGUACCAAAAAGUUAAAUAUAAGUUUUGUUAAAAAUAAUUUUUCUUGCAGUGUUAGCAACUCAUCCAACUAUUUAUUAAAAUCCUCAAGUACAACGGUAGAUGGUCUUGUUUCAUCGAUUGAACCUCUCAAUCCCGAUUAAAAAAAAUAAAAAUCUGGAUCAAGAGCUGCUGAUAAUAAAGUCUAAAGAAAUCUAAUCCUAACAAAAAGUGCCUCCUAACAAAAAGGGCCUCCACAGCAAGUCUCUUGGUAGUAAUACUUUCACAAUUGGACCAAAUAUAGUCUCCAAAAGAUCAAUUGAGCAUACUUUCUUGUCCUUUUCAAGUAUGUUAUUAACUUAACAUUGUUAUGAUCCUAAAAUAAAAACAAUGCAAACAAAACCAAAGUAAACCCUAAACAAAACCAAACUAUCAUUCAGGCUUAGUUACAAAUGGAGAAAAUGUUUAUAUAUGAAUUUUAUGAAACAACCAUGUUCAUGGAAAUUUGGCGUUUUAGCUUUACCAGGUGUAAGGAAGUGGUGAACCUGAGGCUGCAGAAUAAAUUAAAAAACCUUAAUUAACCUUAUUGAUAAUAAAGAUUAAGAAUCAAAUGGAGGAUGAAUUGUACUUCAAGGAGAUAAUUUUUUUCAGCUUAGAAUUUCAUAUUUUGAGUUUUGAUUACUAUAAAAACGAUAUUCUCUAAUUUUAAUGAAUGAAAUAAAUUUAAUUUUUUUUAGUGAGAUAACAUCCAGACUCUACUUUUACACUACCUUGACUACAAAAGAAAUUACUUUCACCAAGGGAAACUCUAUCUAAAAGAAAUUUCAAAGUCUUGAUUGGUGGAUGAGAGAAGCAAUUGUCCAAACCACAAUUGUUUUAACCUUUGUAACAAUUUUCCGAAAGAAUGUGUCUAUUAGAUUAUAUAUAACAGAAAAAUUAUGCUAGUAUUAAUUAAAUGGCCCAGCAUAGGAUUUAGAGGACAAUAUUCCUAAUCCCCUAAACUGCCAAGUCAUAGUUUCCAAAAAAAAUAAUAUAAAUAAAAUGUAGUUGGAUUUGACCAAUCAUAACCCCUUAGUCUAAGCAACAUCAUCUUGCUAUUUCAUGAUCAUAAAUCCACAACUGGAAGGAUUUUUUCCAGUUUCCAAGCUAAAAAAUGGUACGAAGUUUGUCACAUCAGUGAAAAAAAAAAUAUAAAAACAAAGCAACUUUGACAAUUUGAGAGAAAAGCUUCAAUGAAGUGUCUUCUAACUUUUAAUAAAGCAGCCUCUCAUACCUAAGUUCAAAGCAUAUUUAAUUACGUAUUGCAGUUAAAGAUGUACACAUAAUUAAAUCACUGGUAAUAUGAAUCUCAAGCAAUCGAUACGUAAUUAUAAAAUUAAAUAAGCUAGUGACAUGUAUAGAUCCCAACAAAGAACAAAAUCUCUAAAAAAAAAAACAUAGGCAAGAAAGAAUAUUGAAUGCAAUAACUUACAUCAACAUCAGACAAGUGCCCUACCAUUAUCCAUGGACGAAAUCUUAGCAGUUCUUUCAUGUGAAGAGCUGGCAAAACAAUGCCAUAAGAAACUAAAAUGCAUCCAUAAAAAGAAAUAAAAAACACAACCUUCCAUAAUAUACAUGCGACUUUUUUUCUCAUAUAACAUUAUUUUCACUUUUAUUUUCCUAAAUAACAUCUUUUUAUUUUAAUUUUCUUGUGUAACAUUGUUUUUUCUCAUGGUUUCAUUUUGUAUUUUCGAAAAAAAAAAAUCUCUUAGAAUUUGGUUUCUGGAAUGGUGUUUUUAGAAUUUUUUAUUUCUUUGUCUAGAGUGAAUGGAAAAGAAAAAAAAUAUAAAAUAAAAUAAAAAUAAGUUUAAAAACUAAUAAAAGAAAAUAAAAAGAAAAAUAAUUAAUAAAUUAAAAAGAAUUAAUAAUUUUAAUUUUGGAUGAUUAAAAAUAAAUAUAUUGGUUUUAAAAAAAAUAUUUUUAAUAUUUAAAAUAGUUAGAAAUAUAAUUAUUGAAGAAAGAAAUGAGUUUUUGCAAAGAAGAAUGAUGUCCCAAGACAUGAAAAAAGAAGAAUAAAAUAUAUUUUCUCUAAAAAGCAUAAUUAUGCAAGUUGCAACAAAUAACUUACUGUACAAAGCACAACAUUGACUAUUCAACAAAAUCCCAUAGAUGCAUGCCCGUCAUAAAUACAAAACUCUCUUAUCGUAACAAACAAAAAUGUAAUGACAUUUUACCAGUAAUAACUAUUAAGUAAAUUACAGAGGAAAAAAAGGAAGAACUAGUUUGUGUCAUUUACACGUUAUACCACAUUAAACAUGCAAGAAAAUAAAUCGGGUGAGAUUAUAAAGGCUUUCCCUCACAAAUAUUAAGCUAAAAAGAGAGGGGACAAUUUGCGUCAAUUAGACUAUCUCUUUGAACUCUUCAUUCCUGUCUUAUUAUAUUUGUUUUACAAAAUAAAGUGGAUCCCAUUAACAAGACAUUUGGAGCAUAUACAGAGGUGAAUGUAGUCUAACUUGCAUAUACAAGCAUAUGCUAUAUUGUUUAAGCAAUUCAAGAAGUAGACAUCAUAUUUUAAUUUUUAACUUUAAUUUUGUAUUCCUUCAACUGGUAUCUUGUUUUACAUUCACUAUCAGAAUGUAAAAUUUCACAUUAAAUUGUUUUACCUGAACUUCCCAGAAAGGGUAACUGUGACCAUAUAACAAACAAGAUUGGCAUUAAUUUUGGUACUUCAUAAUCGAACUGCAUUAAAAUUUAAGAUUCGUAAAGUUCAGAACUAAAACUAUAAUAUAAAAUAAAUAAAAUUAGAACGAAUAAAAAAUGAUAUCAAGAAAGUGUAGUUGUUGAGUUUGUUGAAGAUGAAAGGAUAAAGUCUCCCACAUGACUAAAAGAGUUUGCAUAAACAAGUCCUAAAUGACCUUGAAACAAUGUAUAUUGUCUUUUCCCAACACCUUGCCCUAACAUUUGAUCAUUCUCACCUGCGAAAGAGCUAAUAAUAGCAAAAUUAAUAACUAGACUUUUACAACAUGCAAAACAAUUUGGUCAUGCUCAAAAUAUUUGCCCCACCACAAGUAUGAUUAGGCUUUCCAGGAGAUAGUUGAUAACGAUAUCUGCAUAUUGAUUAUGUUGAUAAAUAUUAAAGUGUGCCAAAAACAAGAAUGUAGAACAAGUAGAACUAAAUAUUAAACACUUUUGUGCAUGUGCCUGAUGUAGUAUCUCCUAGAUAUACCAAAACAAAACACAAUUUAUCUAAAAACUUCCUAAAAAACUUAAGCAUUGUACAAAGAUCACCCACCUCUCUCACUCCUAACCCUUUUCCUUCAUCACCAACCAUCUUUCCAAUAAACCAACACCUCUCCACUCCACAGUUCAAUCACGUUCUAUCAUUGCUAACCUCUCUCACUCCAAAUCGUUCGAUCACGUUCAGUAAAGAGAGAGUCCAAAUGUAAGUAUAGAUUGAGAAAAUUAAGAAGAAGAAAAAAAUCACCACAGAAACAACAAAAUUAAGCAAGAGUAUAUGAAAUAAACAAAUCGAUCCUUGCGGAACGCAAUUAAAGUAAUUGAAACACACUUUGCACAAAGGAAACACGAUUUGUAGAGGAAUCAGUUCAGUGGUGGACCAAAGGUAGAAGAAGCUUCCAAAGUCAUUCCGAAAGUGUUUGGCAGUGCGAUGAUGAGGUCCAAUGCAGUGGGUAAGGUGAGAGUUAAAGGAGAAAUUAUACGUUUAGAGGAGAGUGGAGAAAUUAGGGGUUUUCUGAGAGAAAUUAUGAGUCUAUUGGAAAAAAAAUACAAAAUUCUUUAUUAAAUUAUUUGAAAAAUAAUUAAUUGAAUUUAUUUACUAGAGUUUGAAAAAACCUAAUGUAGUUCUUCAAGGUUAUGUAAUAAACUCUUAGAUUUUAAUGGAGAUUAAAACAACCUUUGCUAGUCAAAUGCAUUGUUGAAGUUUAUAUAACCUCAUAUAAAUAACCCCCACUAAAAUCAAUUUUUUUAUAGUGAUGGUGGUGUUCAAAUUUUGAAACCAUAACAAGGAUGCUAGAAAUCAAACAAAAUCAAUAAUAAUGAAAAUUCAUCAUUUAAUCAGUCAUUAAAUAUAAUACCUUAUAAGAUAAGUGUUUCUCUGAAGCACAUGAAAUAUAAGAUUAAGUGUAUCUCUUUCCUUACACAAUGGACUCAUUAAUUCAACCUAAAUUUCUUUUCAACCAAUAAAAAAAAACUAUUCUUGUAAGUAAGAAUCACAAGUUUUUCUCAAGAUUGUAAUGAGACUUAGCUUUCAACAAAAUUUCAAUUUUCAAGAAUAUAAUUAGUUAUAAGAGUUGAGAGAAUACAAUUCAAAAUCAAGUUUUUUUUCUCUCUCAUUAGUGUCUCCGUGUGUAACUAAUAACAUUAAACACCUCAUUCUCAUGUACCUUAAAUCAUGCGUUUACAUUUAAGGAUAUGUCGCUAAAGCGAGUCAUUAUCGUUUAAGCAAUCCAUCUUUACUAAAUAGAUAAAAAAAGUCUAUCACUCAAUCUAUAAACACAUCACUUGAUUGAUACCUCAUUAUUUGAGCAAAUUCAUAUCACUUAAACUUCAAAGAAGAAAAAAUUAGUUUGACAUCUCCCUUGAAUGAGCAUCCAAAUCUCAAUGGAGAGAAAAUUAACACUGACUCUCAUUUCCGUAAGCAUUAUACUAUCCCUCAAGUGAUCCCUCAAGUGAUGCAACUUCAAGCAUCAAGCCACCACUUCAAAAUUCUAUCUCAAAUCUCAUGCUCUUUAUUAUUUGAACAAUAAAUCUUUAAAAAAAACUUAUUUUAGAAUCUGCUCAAACUUCAAGUUAUGAUUUGAACGAAUAGUUGUAUAACUUAAGCAUCCAAUUAAAUACUUAAAUAAUAAUAUUUUGUUAUAAAAAAAUAUCACUACUUAUGUGUCAUCACAUUUUCCUUUUGAUAUUAUGAAAAUAUUCUCAUUAACAUAUGUUUUUCGAAAAACGAUAACUUUGCACUCAACCGAUAUUUAUAGAAAACUAGAUUUUUCAUAACAAAAAAUGUUUCUAAGUACCAAAAACUAAUUGUAACACCCCAAAAUUUACAUAUAACUAUUAAAUAAAAGUUCUACCAAUUUCUAUACAAACUUGGAGUUUUUCAAAACAUUCCUAAUACACGAUUAGGAUUUAUAGAAAUACAAAUAUUUACAUAUCCAUUGCUCAAAAUAAAAUUCAGAAACCUCUAAGGCUCUCCUGCACCUGUAUGGUCAUCUACUCGUGUACAUAGUACAGUCAUCGCUGUUUAAACACAACACAAAAAGCAAGGGUAAACUAGUGAAAAUAGAAUUUUAUAAUAUACACACUUAAAUCCAAAAAGAAAACCACAUUACAUGACCAAUUUCUCAAAUUAUUCAAUUUUCUUCAAAUUUCAACAAUGAAACAAUCACAUAGAUCUCACAUGGAUCUACACAUCCAAAAUAUUCAACAAACAACGUCUUUCGGAAGACCCGUAUCAAGUAAGUCCUACCAGAGACUAACACUUGAUCCAAAGAUUACUAGCGAAUCCAACAGAAAGGAUCAGGGUAAGUUCAAUACAACCCAAGCCGUGCAUCUCAUAUGUCACGGUGUGCAUGAACUCCCCCAUUAGCUUCUCACCACCUGAUAUCUUAGUCUAUGUGACUUAGAUCAUCAGGGAAGCUCGGAGAUCUCUCUUACCACAUAGACAUCAAUACUUAAUACACAGCAAACACCAGUCCAUACAUUAUCCCGACAUCAAUACUUAAUACACAGCGAACAUCAGUCCAUACAUUAUCCCAAAUGUAUGAAUUCAAUUUCACACCAUUUCAUCAUACAAUAUCAUUCCAAACACGAUCCACAACAUUCAAAAGCGUAAUUAACAUAAAAAAAACACCUUAAAUAUUAAACCAUCAAAAUCUAAUAUUUUUACAAAUUUAAAUGAUAUAUAAACAAACAACAGCCCUGCAAGAGAAAUUGAAUAUUGGGACCACGUCCCUUCCGCAUUCAGAUCUUCUAUCCUAGGGUGCUAUUAAAAAUUAAAUUUAGCUUCACUUACCUUAAUUGUUUGCUUUCCAAGCAACUUCUAGAAUUUUAUUUCCCACAGUCUGGAUAAACUUCAAGAUUUACGGCCUAAUGCAAGUUAUCCAAACAGAACAAAAUUCAGUAUAUAAUAGAAUAAGUUGAGAGGAUUAAACUUCUCAACUGACCCCACCAAUAUUGAUGACUAAAUCCUAAGGAAAAACAGAGAACAAAAGAUAUUUAGAGUAAAAAUGAACUUACUUUGUUUGAAAAUCUGAUCGGAUAGAAAUGUAGUCUGACUCCCCAUCUACAAUAUGACAUGAUCAGAUUUUGGAAUAGAUGAUGUAUGGGAGAAAAAAUGAAGAGAGAAGGGAGAGGAGAGAAGUUAAUAGAGAGAGAAAGCAUGAAAAAAAGAAAAGAGGAAAAUGAUGGGGCAGGGGGCUGCUGCUUUUUUUAUUUACGGGGGAUUACAUUAUACACAGUUUCUAAUGAUUUUUACACUACUUCAUUUAUUCUCAAUUUGAUUAGCUAAACCCAAAGUUAUAUUUAAGAACAUUUAUAUACAAAUCUCUAACUAAUUCAAAUCAAUGUGUAGAGCUCUCAAUAGCACCAAAUCAUAUUUUUAUUGAUUUAUAAUUACCAACACUGUCAACAAUAAAAGACUUUAUUCAGCUAACUCCCUUUAACUUUUGCUUUGCUACAAAACAAAACAACGUCAUCUCCUAAAAGUUUCCCAACUCAACAAAGAAAAUCUCCGAAACUUGAUCCUAUAAAAAAUUAACACAUUUACUUCGUCGUAUCAAUAAAAAAUCGGUUGAUUUGGAUAAAUGAAGUAUAAAAUCACACAUACUAAAAAAAAAGAGAUAAAAUCCAUUAUAAGAGAAGAAAGAACUUAGAUUUAAUUAGUCUAUCUUGAUUUCUCCUUCGUUAACUCCUCAAACACGUAAUAUAAUCUUAGAAAUGAUAGACAAUCAAAACUGAUUGAAACUUAAAGAAAAAAAAAAGUUUAAGUUUUUAGAGAUUUGAAGUUUAUAAAAACAAAGAAUGACCUAUUUUAAAUUUAUUUUAAAAUAUUAAAAAAACAUUUUACUUUAAACUUAAUCUUCUAAAGUCAAUUAAAUUGAGUCUUACAAUGGGAACAAGUAAAUGCUUUAAAAUAUAGUUUUAACAUAAUUGUAAACUUAAUUUUAACAUAAUUGUGAACUUUUUGAAAUCAAUUUAAAUUAAAGAAGAAACAAAAGAAAAAUUAAUUUUAAAAUCUAAAGUUGGUUGACUUUUCUUUGAAACAUGUGACAAAUUACAACUAGAGAUAAUCCAAAAACAAAAUCCUAAAAUACUAGUAUAUAAAAAUGAUCUCUUAAUUGUAGAUGUUGUUCUUAAGCACCAUACUUUUGUGUAAUACCUCUUUGUAAAAUUGAAACAAAAAUUUUAAGUUCAAAUUAAAAAAUAAAAGUAUUUAGUCUUUUAGUAUUUGGCACGUUUGUUUAUUAAAACAGAAAAUUGAAAUUAAUAUUCAAUUAACCUUAGCAUGGACUCUUUUAUCUUUUCUCCUAUUAAGGUUAUUUUUCUUUCUUUUAAUAAAUGCAAGCAAAUGACAAUUAUUUAAAGACCAAACACCUGAACAAUUAAUGAUAUUGAAACAAAAUUAAGAAAUUAAUUAUUAUUUUUACUAAAACUGCCUUUUUAUAUUAAAAACGAAAUAUGUAUCUAUAUUGAAUCCACUAUUUAUUUAUUUUUAAUGAGAUUAUAUUGUAUUGUAUAAGCAGAGCUAUCUUACUUUUUUAUAUUUAAAUUACAGAAUUUUUCAUAUUUAAACAAACCCAUACAACACAAGAAUAUUAUAUUCAGUUGAUCAUAACCGAGAGCACAUUUUUAAGAAUAAUCAUAAAUUUUUUUUAUAUAUGUAAAAGAAUCUUAAAUUAGUAUAAAAUAUAAAAACAACGAUCUUUUAUUUAAUACGUUUUUACGGUCAAACACUGUCGUCCAAAAUACAGUGACAUUUUUUAAAUUAACUUCAUUUAAGAGUGCGGCUAUUUGUUAAGAAUGCGAUUUUACCUAAUAGUCGCAUUUUAAAAAUAUUUUUUAACCUAACACUAAAGCGCACCACUUACACUUUUAUACUUCUUUUCUUCUUUGACGCUUCGUUUUCUCUUCUCUUUCUGCUCUCGUGCUUCCUCACGUACGUCUUCCUUGAACUUGCAUUGUCUUCUUCAUGCCAUUGAUAAGUUCGUUUUCGAGCUCUCUACUUCUUCUUCACCAUUGGUUUAUGUAUUUUUUUAGUUUCUCUUAUUUGUUUGUUUUCUGCCAUUACUUGAAGGUCACCAUUGUUUCAUUGUCACACUGUUGUUUGAAUUUUUGUUGUGCCGUAUUUGUUUUGUCCCUGCUGUCGCCGCCGCCGUUGGUGUCAGUCCCGCGCCACUCUUCACCAUCACGGUUGCCUUCACGCACAAGGUUGGUGGUGUUUUAAAUUUUUAAAUUUUUUUUCAUGUUAUUAAUUUGUUUAUUUUUUAUUUAUUAUAAUUAGUAUUUUUUAAAAUUUAUAUUAUUUUUGUUUUUAGGUUAGAAUAUAAUUAUUAAAUUAUUAGAUGAUAGAUAGAUUUAUAUUAUUUAAUAUUUAUAAUUAAUUUAAUGAUUUUUAAUUUGAAUGUGUUGGUAUUGACCCUCGGCAAUUGAUACGUACUGGUAUUGAGUCUAGGGGUGUUCAACCCUUGACAAACGUGAGAUAGAACACUCAUUAGUAAACACAUGAAUGACUAUUACAGACAAUAAUGAAUCGAAAUUGGAUUAAAUUUUCGCAUAAGUGAUGAGUAUGAAAGAGGAGUAGAAGAAUUUAUACAAUUUGUGCAAAGUGAUGUGAAUAAUAGUAGUCAUGAUGGAGCAAAGAUUAGGUGUUCGUGCAUUAACUAUUUAAAUGGAAGGAUACUGGAUAUUAAGAAAAUCAGGAAGUACCUUCUAUGUGAUGGGCUUCUUCGAUCUCAUACAACUUGGAUAGGCCACUGUACACAUACAUGUCAGAUUUGUUAGAAUUUAUAGUUGGGGAUCUUGAACUUAAUAUAAAUAUAAUUCAAUUUUGUAUGAUGUCAGUAUCUUUACCUAUAUUUCAAUUUACUUUAUGUUAAAUUAUUAUUGAUUAUGCUUUAACUAAUAACUUGUAGGUUUUUGCAUGAAGUUUCUAUCACUGAUGGGAAUGAAGAUGUGUAUGGAUUCUUAGAUCCCUCAUAUACUAAUCCCACUGGAAUAAAGAAAAUUGAAACUCAAUCAUACAUCACUAACACCCUGGAAAAAGAAGGGAAACAAAUUUAUUUAUGCUUUAUAUUAAUGAGUAAGUUUAAUUAUAAGUCGUCUAUUAUUUCAUGUUUUAAAUAUUUACUAACUCUUUUCAUGGAUGAUAUAGGGGUCAUUGGAAAUUACUUGUCUUAUUAACAGUUGAUAAGACUGUUGUGUGAUUUUGUUCCCUACACAAGAAGUCAUUCACACAUCUGAAGAAUGUCAUUUAUAAGUAAGUACACUAUAAACUUAACUUUGUAUGUUACUAAUUAAGCAUCUACUAAUGCGGUUUUUUGUAUUAAUCAGUUCAUGGCAUGGAUAUAACAUCCUAAAAGGUCGAUCUAAUUCAAAUUUUCAAAAUUUGAAGUGGAUGACAUUAAAGGUUUGUAAUUUCUGUCUUUCUCUUUUCAUUGUUUAUCAAUAUUAACUUUUAUUUUUAUUGAAUUAUAGUGUAAUUGACAAUCAGGAAGCUAUGAGUGUUGCUAUUACGUUAUGUAAUGGAUGAUUACCAUUGUAAGACUAGGCCUUAAAAGUGAUUGGGAUUAGGUAACAUGAUGGUAAAUUAUUUUUAUAAUUCUUUAACAUAUAUGUAUCUUAACACUAAUAAUUGUGUGAACCUUAUUUUGUAAUGCGGUUCUUCACGAAUGAGCAAGCAAUGACUUCGAAAGUUAUAGCAUAUGUGAGACAUUCUUGGUCCACAUAUUUCCUAAAUUUUUAUAACUCUAUGAUAGCUUAUGAAUAGUGUGGGAAAUAGAUAAAUAGAUUGGGAUUAGAUAGAUAGAUAUAUUAUUAGUGUUUGUAAUACACUUUUAUCAACAUCUAUAAUUUGAUUCUUUGAAUUUAUGUAUUUUUCUGGUUGUGUUAUAAUUGAACAGGUCAAUUUAGAUGGGAAUUAUCAUUAAACAUAAUGUACUAACAAAAUUAACGAUAUACAACAACAACUAUUUACUAUAUAUGCAUUCUUAUAUGCAGCGCAAAGAUUUACAAAGGCAACUAUGGUAAAUAGCCGCAUUCUUAAAUGCUAUUUAUAAGUGCAACUAUGGUAAAUAGCUGCAUUCUUAAAUGCAUAACACAUCUCUUUUAUAAAUCAUUCUGAAGCAUAUAAGAAUGCGGUUAUUUACCAUAGUCGCCCUUAUAAAUCGCAUUUAAGAAUGCGGCUAAAUAGUCACCUUCUUAUAUGUUUGACAUAAGACUACGUGUACAUCAAAUGCGACUAGAAAGUCAUCGUUGUAAAGUGAAAAUAUCCGCCCUCUUUUUCUUGACUUCUAUGAGAUAAUAGAAGAACCAAGAAAAAUUCAAUACAUCUCUCAGUUGUUUGACAACCUCCCCAAUCUGAGUCGCAAUAAGUUGUCAAUGUCAGAUGGUUCUUGGAUGACAAUAGUAAUCCUUGUUCAGGUGAUCCUUUGAUGUUUUUUAGGACUCAAAUUGCGGCAUCCCAAUGAGAUUUUCGUGGAACCGGUAUAUAUUGACUUAAACACUAUGUCAGGCCGAGUAACCGUGAGGUAUAUUAAUUAUCAGUCGUCCCACAAGUUGCCUGUAUUUGACUGGAUCCUUUAAUAACUCUCCAUCGUUUGAGUGUGAGUUUUAGGUAUUGCUCCAUUAGAAAUUUGUCUAGACGAUCACCUGUGAGUCCCGUAUCCUGCAAAAUAUCAAGCACAUAUUUUCUUUGUGACAUGUAAAUACUAGCUUUGGAACGGAAAAUAUUCAAUCCCUAGAAAAUAUUUUAAGUCUUCAAGAUCUUUAAUGCGAAAUCGUCGUAAUAGACCAUCUUUAAGACGCUGCAUUUUUGUCAGAUCAUUCAUUUCCUGUCAAAAGAAUAUCGUCCACAUAAAUCGAGAGGACAUUAAAUGAUGAGUUAUUUUGUCUUGUGAAUAAAGAGUAGUCCACCUUGGACUAUUGAAAUACUGGAGAUUUAAUCACAUGAGAAAAUGUUGAAAACCAUCUCUGGACCAUGUCCGGAGGCUUGUCUGUCGAUGAUGCCUAGGUGACAAGUCCAUGUAAAUAAGUUCGUGCAAUUUGCCAUGUAAGAAGGCCUUUUGCACAUCCAGCUGGUGAAUAAACCAAUUUUUGGUUGUUGCAAUGGUGAGGAGACACCUCAAAGUUGUUAAUUUUGAUGUUGGUGAAAAAGUUUCGCAAUAAUCAACACCUUCAAUAUGAGUGUACCCUUUUGUAAUAAGGUGCGGCUUAUAUCUUUCGACGUUGUCAUCCGAUUUGUACUUUCAUCUUAUAGGUUUCUGCCCGGCGGGUAACUGAAGAAAAUCAUGAAUUUUGAAAGAAAAUGAUGCAUAAGAUACCUAGUUCCAUUCGACUAAUAUUGGAUAGUGGUUGAAUGAUUGACUUGGGAUCCCGUUACGUAGUCUUGAAGUCAAAAAAGUGAAGUUAUUGUCUCCACUAAUCAUGAGAUUCUAUCAUUAUUAAAUUAAUUGCAUAUAAUUACGUAUAAUUGCGUAUAAUUUGAUAAUCCUUAUUUCUUUUAAUAAAUGAGAUUAUUUUAUUAUUUUAAUUGAUGUAUGUAUUUCUAUUUUGAAAAAUUUUAUUUCUGGCAGGAUUAUCCACUCUCACCCGUCAAAUAUAUUAUGAAUCUAAGUUUUAAUGAAAUCAACAUUUGGCGAUCCAUGGAGGUAUGGAGGUAUUGAAGAACAUGAAAUUUAAAAAACUUAAUUAAUGAUUUGCUUGGGAGAGAGAAAUCAUGACAUUUUGAAGUCUUUAAAUGUGAUUAUUUAGCCAAAGUUCAUAUAUAUAUUUGCAUAAAUUUAGUUAAUUCCCCUUACAUCUUUCAGGUUUAUAAAAAUACAUCUGUUUUUUAACGUUCUUUUGGUUUUCAGCAAUUUACCUGCGGUCAAGGUAUUGGAGGUGUGGAAUAAAUAUGUGUUGUUUCUAUAUGAUGUGUGCAGAAAUGCACAUAUUUAAAUGAGGUGACGGUGGAAUAUUUACUCUCCUCAUGAGCACAAAGUAGGAGAAAUCUAUAAAUAAUAUUGCAUAAACUAAUGUCAAAGGAAAUUCUCCAUAUAUCAUCACAAAAGAAAUUGAGAAAAAAAUAUCCAACAUCCUCCCUUAAUUAUGAUUUGGAACAACCUUCCCAAUUUGAGUCAUGAUAUUGUUUUUCUCAAUCAAAUUUUCAUUCAUAGCCUUUUGCCAUUUGGGGUGUUGAAUGACAUCAUCAAGUCUCACAGGUUAUGAUUCUGCAAGAAAAGCAAAGUGAACAAAAUCUCCAUUGUCGUCAACUUCAUCAUCAAGAUUUACUUCACAAUCUUGAAGAUGUACAGGUUGUCGAUGUUGCCUUCUUGGUCACUCCAUCAUAGUUGCAAUUGGAGUUGCAACUUCAGGUUGAAUUACAACUUCAGGUUGAACUGCAGGUGCUUCAAGAGUGACUUCAUCUUCCACAUCAUCGUUCAAAACGUAAAUAUAUCAUUUUUUUUAAUCCAUUUCAACUGCUGCAUUUCAUUGUCAUUCCUCAUCUUCGGCAAAUGUAACAUCACGACUAACAAUCACCUUCUUUGUUAUUGGAUUGUACAAUUUGUAUCCCCCAUGCUUAUAUCCAAUGAAAAUGGUUUUCCCUGCCUUAUCAUCCAACUUUGAUCUUGCUGCCUUGGGAACAUGAGCAUAAGUAAUUGACCCAAAUACCUUCAAGUGUUGCACAUUGGGUUUGAAUCCACUUCAUGCCUCAAUCGGAGUUGUGUUAGGAACACUCUGAGUGGGUGAUCUGUUUAUCAAAUAUACCGCACAUGUUACGGCCUCAGCCCAAAAAUAAUUUGGCAUACCUUUCGCUUUAAGCAUGCUCCUCGCCAUGCCCAUGAUUGUUUUAUUCCUUCUCUCAGCAACUUCGUUGUGUUGAGGUGUGUAGGAACAAGUUAUGUUAUGUUGCAACCCAAGUUCUUCACAAUGCCUCUUGAAUUCAUUAGACUUGUACUCACCUCCUCCAUCACUACGCACCAUCUUAAUUUGUCUGUCACUCUGCCUUUCAACAAAUGCUUUAAAUAUUUUAAAGUUAUGGAAUACCUCAUCCUUGUUUUUCAAUACAUAAAUCCAGGUUUUCCUUGAAAAAUCAUCAAUAAAGGUUAACAAAUACUUAUUACCUCCAACUGAUGAUAUGUUCAUUGGGCCACAAACAUUUGUAUGAACAAGCUCCAAAGGAAAUUUUGCACGCCAAGGCUCCUUAACAAAUGGCAUACUGUGAUUCUUUCCAAAAAUGCAAGCCUCACACAAUUGAUCAGGGUGAUGAAUAUGAGAUAAACCAUUUACUAAAUUUCAUUUUGAGAGAUUUUCCAAACUCUGGAAAUUUAAGUGCCCAAAGCGUAAAUGUCAUAACCACGAUUCAUUAUUCACUAUUGCAUUCAAGCACUUGAAAUCACCCAUAUGAAUAUCUACUAGAAACAUGCGGUUUUUUGAUAAAAAGGAAUUAAGAAUCAAACUACCUUUUUUAUCAAAAAUUGAUAAUUUAUUUUCAACUAUGUGCAUCACAUAACCCUUCUCGGCCAGCUGUCCCAUACUCAACAAAUUACUUUUCAUAUCAAGUACAUAGAAAACAUCAUAGAUGUACCUGUGAUCACCAUUCUUCAAUGUGAUAAGAAUUCGCCAUUCUCCAGUGACCGGAACGAACCUGCCAUCACCGAAUUUCACUUUUGUGCGAAAUGAGUCAUCCAAAUCUGCAAAUAGCUCCUUCUGACCACACAUAUGAUUCGUGCAACCUGUAUCCAAAUACCAAGUCUGGUUGUUUGGAGUUUCAUUUGAUGUGGUUGUCAUUAAUACUUCAUGAUCAUCUUCAUCUUGUUCGUGAUUACUAUCUUCUUGAGCACAAUUGGAAGCAUGAUUAUCACCUUUUGAUCUGCACUCAUUUGCAUAAUGGCCACGUUUAUGGCAAUUAUAACACUCAACAUUUGAUUUAUUAUAAAUGUCUCCUCGUCCUUUGCAACCACGUUCCCCUCGCCAAGCGCCUCCAUGAUUCUGGCCACCACGACCUUUGCUGAAAUAGCUACCAUGUUUAUGAUAUGAGCUACCAAUUGAGGCUUGUGUUUGUAAAGCCUGUUCAAUUGGUUUUUCAAUCUUAUUGUCNNNNNNNNNNNNNNNNNNNNNNNNNNNNNNNNNNNNNNNNNNNNNNNNNNNNNNNNNNNNNNNNNNNNNNNNNNNNNNNNNNNNNNNNNNNNNNNNNNNNAAAUAAAUAUUAUUAAAUAUAGAUUAUAUUUUGGAUUUAAUAAUUUAUAUUGAUGUAAAUUUACCUUUAAUUACAACAUAAUUCUUAAAAUAUUACUUGAAAGUUAUUAAAUAUAAUUUUUUUCAAAAAUAAAAAAUAAUUACUUUUUAUUUUAAUUAAAUUAAAUAUUAUUUUAAAAACUAAAAAUAUUAUUAUAUCUAAAUUAGUUUAUAUUGAUAAAUAAUUUUAAAAUUUGUAUUAAUUACCUAGAUUUUAACUAUCAAUUAUUCAAAUUUUAAAGUUUAUAUAUAACUAAUUAAAUAUCAAUUUAAAAAAUAUUUAUGAAUAAUAAAAAUUAAUUUAGAUACUAUUUAUUUUUUUUUAGUAUCUAAAUAUAAUAAUUAAUUAUUUUUCCUUAUUAAAAUUAGUUUCUAUUUAAUUAAUUUUAAAUAAAUUUACUUUUAAUUAUAUUAUAAUUGUUGAAAUAUAUCUAUCUUGAUUCAGUGACAGUGGUAGCUCUUAGACUAAGUCAAGUCGUGGUCUUUUUAUCUUUGUUCUUUUGUAUGUUUAAUUAACUACUAAUAUUUAUUUUAAAUAACUAAAAUAGAUAAUUAAUAAAUAUUUUUAACGUAUGUUUUUUACUGUAUGAUAAAUUAAUGAAAAAUAUAAUUUUUUAAAAAUAUAUGAAUUAAAUUUUAUAUUCUUAGUUUAUAAUAUUAUACAAUUUUAUUUUAUUAAUUAUAACAUAAUUAUGCUGAAUUAGGUCUAUUUUGGAUUCCACUUUCCGCUAUAAGUUGACGUCAAGUCAUCCUUCUUUACUUGAUUUUAGGUUUAUAAAUAAUUUAUAUGAUGUAAAAAAUUAUUUUUAGUUCUAACAUAAUUAUUGAGAAAUAUCUAUUUUGGGUUCUACUCGGAGGUGACUAUCACCUAGUCAAGUUUUCUUUCUUAAAUAUUACUUAUAUUUUAGUAUAAAUAUAACAAUAUUUAUCCAUAUUAUUAAAAUUAAAUAAGUAUUUUAAUGUAUAAAUGAUAUUAAAAAUUAAAUUUUAUAGUAAACAAAAUAUUUUAUUAUUAAAAAAAAUAGAUAAUUGUAUGAUGAGUAUUUAUGUUGAUUUAAUCUUAAAAAUUAUAUGGAUAUUUAAUUUAAAAAUAAAACGAAACAGAUUAAAUUGAAAAAUAUAAAAUGAAAAAAUAUUAAAAUAAAUCUGGAGGAAUAAUAAAUUGGAUGGUUGAUAAGAUGAAGCGUGGUGAAUGGGGAAUUAAGUGCGUGAAGGAGUUGGCGGUUUCGUAUUUAAAUAGUUGAUGAGAUGAAGAUGAAGAUGAAGAUGAAGAGUGUGACACUGUUUUUCCUCUUUCUCCUUUUAUUGGAAGCCCUUUGGUGUGAAGGAUGUUUGAAGGAAGAGAGAGAAGCACUUUCCGGCUUAUAUUCCCGUUUGGGCAAUCCUUUAAUUGGGGACGUGGACACAGAUUGUUGUCAAUGGGGAGGAGUGGAAUGCAACUCCUCCACAGGGAGGGUGGCCGGACUCGAUAUCUUCAUGUGGGAUUCAAUCUCACAACACUAUAUUAAUUGCUCGGAUUUUUCUGUCUUCAUAGAUUUGAAGAACCUCUCCUUCAUAGGUAGGUUGUGUGGGGGUGAAGGUAUGAAUCACUCAAACUUUAUUUCUCUUUACUUACUAUUUUACAUUACUUUACAUACUUUCCAGGCUUGCCAAAUCUGGAGCUCUUUCCGAUCAAGAACCUGCUGGACAACUUCAAUAAACAUUCUUCAUUCCACGGUGAGACUACCUAUUAGUCUUUCUUAUUCUAAUAAAUCACAAUAAUCAUAUUUCUCACUUUAUGUUUUAAUAAUAUAUUUUCACAUUUUCUUCGUUUCUUUCACAAUUUUUUGAUUAUAUUCAAUACAUGUACAUAUAUAAGUUUUCGAAACUCUGUCAUCAAAGCUGCCUAAUCUGGAGGUCCUUCGCAUAAGUGGGAUCUAUUUAACCAAUCACAUCUUGCCAUCCCUCGAAGAAUUCACAUCUUUAAAGAUACUGAGUUUGCAGGAUACUGGAUUGGAUUCGGAUCUUCACAUAGAAGGUACGUAUAGCAUUUUUUAUUUUUUUAUCUCUCAUUAAAUAAAAAUUAAUUUUAAAAAAAAUUAAUUAUUAUAAAAACUAUUCAUCAAUAAUAUAAACUAAUUUAAAAAUUAAUAAUUUUUUAAUUUUUAAAAUAAUCUUUAAUUUAAUUAUUAUAAUAAUUAAUUAUUUUUAGUAUCUAAAAUUAGUUUCUGCAAAUUUUCCUGAAAGUACGAAUAGGAUUAAACUUUUCCAUUUCAUUAAUAAAGAGGAGCUAUGGGAAUUUACGGAGGAUAUAUUCUUUGCAGCUUUAUGCUCAAAAUUGAGGAAUCUUGAGGUCCUUGACUUGUCAUACAACAACUUUAACCACACUGAUAUUGGGUCUGCUCUUAGUGGACUCUCAUCCCUCAACUCCUUAUAUUUAGAAAACAGUGGAUUGACUUGGAGAUCAAUUUUAAGUAUGUCUCAUAUAGAAAUCUUCAUUAUUUGUUUUUUUAUUACAAAUUAUAUCUAAUUCUCUAUAAUCGGAAUAUUCUAUUGUUAGAUAUUUCAAAAUUGAGUUCCUUGGAGAUUCUUAACUUAGAUGAUAACGGGUUGAAUAACUCUAAGAGUAUCUUCUGGCAUAUAAAAGGUUAGUUGUGAGUAUAAAAGGUUAGUUGUGAUUGAUAUUGGAUAAUAUUUUAUUUAUGUUUCUUGUUCUUAUUAUUUGAUACUUUCAAUUUUGUUUAACAGAUAAAGAUGAAUUUAAAUGGCCAAUCAAUUUACAAAAGUUAUGGCUGAAUUACAACAACUUGGCAGACGAAUUUCUCCCAUCUCUAAGUGGUCUUCCACUUCUCAAAUCUCUUCAUUUAAAGGCCAAUCAACUAAAAGUAACACUAGAUAUCAACGGUCAGUAUUUCUAUAGAAUAUGUUUAAAAUAUUAAAAAAAAUAUUUCUAGAUAUUAUAUUCUAAUAUUUUUAAAUUAUUAUAAUAUUAAACGAUUUGUUAGAAUCAAUAAUUUAAUCAGGAGUCUAAAAAACUAUACAGUCAAUUACAAAAUCAUAAUUAAUUUAAUAUUAAGAUAAUUAAUAUUAAAAAUCUCCACAAAUUUAUAUUCUAAAAUAUUGUAAAAAAACAACACUCGAUGUAUUACACUUAUUUUUUAACUGUCCUGUCAUUGUUUCUUUGCCAAGUAAUUCUUAGAAAAAUUGGAACUCUUUAAAGACUAUGAUUUCUUACUAUGAUUUUUAGUUUAAUUUUUACUAAUAAGUUACUUUCAAGUUAUUUAUAAAUUCCCACACUAAGAAUUUAGAUGUUUAAAAUCUACUGAAAAUUUCUUCCAUAAAACUAAGUGAGAUUCAGACCACUUAUUCUAGAAAAAACAGCUUUUUUCAGACCAAUAUUUUGUUUACUUUAUUCAAAUUUAUUUUACUAUUAUUAAAAAAUAAAUCACGCUUUUAAAGUUUUAAAAAAUAAUAAUAAUUACUAUUGGUCCUUUGUUUUUAAAUUUGAAUAAAUUUAAAAUAGUAGUAAUUUUUUAUUGGAAGAUAAGUUUUUAAACUAUUUUUUAAUUGAUUCAAGAUGUGAAAUUUGUUCUAUUAGAUUAAUUUACAUGAAAAAUUACAGAAUCCAAUUUAUAUUAAGAUAAUGAAUAGUGGUAAUUAUAUAAAAAUCACAUGAAAAUGCAUGGUUCAUAUUCUUAGUGAGUAGUGAUGAGUUCAGAUGCUUUAUUUAUCAGAGAAUGAUGGAUUUAAAUGGCCCACCAAUUUACAAGAGUUAUGGUUGAGUCACAACAACUUAAGCAACAAUUUUCUUUCAUGUCUGAGUGGUCUUCCACGUCUCCAAUCCCUUGAUUUAAGCUUCAAUCAACUAGAAGGAGCAAUAAAUAUAAGUGGUCAGUAUUUUUAUGUAUUUUUUCCGCUUUAUUAUAAUAUUUUAGAAUUAAGAUUAAUUAUUCACUUAGUUUGAAUAAUUGUACAAAUUUUAUCUUAUAGUUUAUAUUCUUAAAAUGUGAUGAUAUAUGUUUUGUAUAUCGAAAUUAUACAUAUAGUUUUAUUUCUUAAACUAAUAUAGUCUAAAGAUAUAAGAGGGAUUUACGUUUAUUAGUACAUUUAAGAUAUAUUUAUUAAUUUAUGAGAUGAAAAGAAAAUAAAUAAUCAAUUAUUUAUUAAAUUUUUUAAUUUUUAAAAAAUAAAAAUAAGCAACAAUUUCUCUUAAAAUAAAUUUAAUAAAUAAUUAGUUAUUUAUUUCCUUUUCAUCUCAUAAUUAAUAAAUAUAUCUUAAAUGCACUAAAUAAACGUAAAUCUCCUGUAUCUUUUUAACUAUACUAGUUUAAAUAAUAAAACUGUAUGCAUAACUUCUAUAUACAAAACAUAUAUCCAUCACAUUUUGAAAUCAAAGAUUUCUAAAACAAGAAAAUGUAAUAUAUAUAUAUAUAUAUAUCAAAUAAACCAUCUCUAUUUAUAAAGUUUUCAUGUUCUGAACUUACACUAAGAAUCCAACUCAACAUGAAAUACGUGAAUUAAUUAAUUUUGUUUACCUCUAUUUUAGCCUCUAAGAAAAUAUAUUAAUUUUGUUUACCUCUAUUUUAGUCUCUAAGAAAAGAUUUCACAACUAAACUAAGUUAGACGUAGCAAAGAUUAACCUAGUCGUGUUAGAUCUCACAUACAAGACUAAAAUGUACCUAAUGCAGACAACACUAAAAACGAUAGUUUUGAGAUUUGGGAUCUGAGAAAAAAAAUCUUACUCUAAAACAAAAUAGAUUAUUGUAAUCUCUAUUAUGUUCUAUAAGGUGACUUUUAAUUAAAAAAAAGUUGAAUAAUUGGGUUAGAAAUUUAGAGGAAAGAUAAAAAGAAUGUGAGAAAAAAUGUUCAAAGAAUUGUAAUCUUUAUUUUUUUUAAACCAUCCCCACAAAAAGAUCUUACAGUCAAUAUAUAAAAUCAUUACUCUUAUUUAUUAAGUUUAAUACAAUGUCAAUUAAGAAAAUCUAUUUAAUCAAUCAAGUAAUUAAAUAUCAUUGGUAUUUGAUUUUUAAGAUAAUUAAUAUUUCAAAAGUCCAUAAAUUACAACACACAACCAUUUGUAUUAUAAAACAAAGCAUUGCACUCUUAUAUAUACUAUUAAUUAAUAUAUAUUAUAAAACAUAUUUAUCGAUAACAAAAAUCAUUAAAAAUCCAAAAGAAUUUAUGAGUAAAUUCAAAUUAUGGAUAAAUUUUAAAAAUAUAGUCCAAAAUUUAAAAUUUAAAAAAUAAAUAAUCCAAAUAUAGUUCAAAUAAAGUUAAAAUACGAUCUAUUAAUUGAAUAAAUAGGUAUUAUAAAUGUGUUUUUAGUAGUUAUUUUUCAAAUCUUUGUUUCUUUAUCAAAUACUUAGUAAGAGUAUUCAUGUUGAAAAUGAUUUUUUACUAUCAUUUUUGCCUUUUUUUUUCCUUAAAAAAUGGUGGAAGUCAAACUGUGAGAGUUUAAUUUACAUUAACAAAGUCAACUUUUAGAGGUUCUAACAUCAUAGUUUUUGGAAGAAAAAAACUUUUGAUUAUUUAAAAGUAAACUAUUUUUUUAACGCGAAAUAAAUGAAUGUUAAUUGAUUUUGAUUAAUUUUUAUUUUUUCUCUUGCAGGAUUAUCAACUUUGAUAAAUUUGACGAAUCUUGAUCUAAGCUAUAAUAAUAUUCAUUAUUUUGUGGCCAAUCAAGGUAUUUAAGAAAAUUAAAAUUAAAAAAGAGGAAGAAAAUAUAUAUUAGAUAAAUUCAUGAUAUUGGCACGUUAAUUCCAUUAUUUCCUUGAAAUUCCUAUAUUCACAUUUUGCAUAAAAUAUAUUUGUCCCCUUCUUGGAGACAUAUUUACUCUAUUCCAUUUAGCAUAAUUAAAGUUUAUUUUACAUUUUUUAGUUAAUUAAAGUUACAUAUCUUUCAGACUCAAAAAGAGUAAGUAGAUUGGAAGCCCUUAAUUUAGAUGGAAAUAUGAUAGAUGGAAAAAAGCUAAGGGAGUCAUUACGAGCUUUAUCAUCAUCCAUGAAGGAGCUUCAAAUGUCUCACAAUCAUUUUAUAGGAACACUUUUAGCUGAAGGUAAAUAAUACAUAUGAUUUUCAUGAAAUAAAUUAAUUUUGUAGUUCUUACAUUAAGAUUCUUAUAAUUUUUUUUUAUUGGGCAGAUUUUCACGAUUUAAGUAAGCUAGAACUUUUGAAAUUGGAACAAAAUGAUAACAUGGAGAGUGAAUUUUUUAAAAGUAUUGGGAAUUUGACGUCCUUGAAAGUACUGUCUCUUUCAUAUUGUCAGAUAAAUGAUGCCCUUCCUGCUGCUACUGGUAAUUAUAUUAUUAUUCAGUGUUAUUUAUAACAUGUAUGUUUUAUUUAAUUUUUUCUUAAUUUUGUUAAAAUCUUUAUAUCCUUCUUGUUAUAACACUUGCAAGAUGUUUUCUUUUUUUCUUCAAAUUUUCAUUCAGAUUGGUUUAAGCUGAAGAAGUUGGAAGAGUUAAAUCUAAUACAAAAUGGAUUUGAAAGAUUUCUUCCCAAAUCUUUCAUUAACAUGACAUCUCUUCGGAAGUUGGAUCUUUCUCAAAAUCACUUCAUGGGAAAGUUUGAUUCUAACAUUGCAACCCUUACAUCACUGGAAUAUUUUGAUUUUACAAAAAACCAAUUUGAAGUACCUGUUUCAUUUACACCAUUUGCCAAUCAUUCACGCCUUAAGUUUGUCUAUGGUAAAGGCAACAAAGUCAAAUUGGACUCACAACACAGUUUGCAAACUUGGAUUCCG